UAGGGAAUCUUCGGCAAUGGGGGGAACCCUGACCGAGCAACGCCGCGUGAGUGAAGAAGGUUUUCGGAUCGUAAAGCUCUGUUGUAAGAGAAGAACGAGUGUGAGAGUGGAAAGUUCACGCUGUGACGGUAUCUUACCAGAAAGGGACGGCUAACUACGUGCCAGCAGCCGCGGUAAUACGUAGGUCCCGAGCGUUAUCCGGAUUUAUUGGGCGUAAAGCGAGCGCAGGCGGUUAGAUAAGUCUGAAGUUAAAGGCUGUGGCUUAACCAUAGUACGCUUUGGAAACUGUUUAACUUGAGUGCAAGAGGGGAGAGUGGAAUUCCAUGUGUAGCGGUGAAAUGCGUAGAUAUAUGGAGGAACACCGGUGGCGAAAGCGGCUCUCUGGCUUGUAACUGACGCUGAGGCUCGAAAGCGUGGGGAGCAAACAGG
rnacentral:rRNA from 1 species